rnacentral:misc_RNA from 1 species
GAGGAGGUGGAAUUCCGCGUGUAGCAGUGAAAUGCGUAGAUAUGCGGAGGAACACCGAUAGCGAAGGCAGCCUCCUGGGAUAACACUGACGCUCAUGCACGAAAGCGGUGGGAGCAAACAGGAUUAGAUGCCCUGGUAGUCCACGCCUAAACGAUGUCAACUGGCUGUUGGGGCCUUCCGGGCCUUGGUAGCGCAGCCUAACGCGUGAAGUUGACCGCCUGGGAGUACGGUCGCAAGAUUAAAACUCAGGAAUUGACGGGGACCCGCACAAGCGGUGGAUGAUGGAUUAAUUCGAUGCAACGCGAAAAACCUUACCUACCCUUGACAUGUCUGGAAUCCCAGAGAUUUGGGAGUGCUCGCAAGAGAACCGGAACACAGGUGCUGCAUGGCUGUCGUCAGCUCGUGUCGUGAGAUGUUGGGUUAAGUCCCGCAACGAGCGCAACCCUUGUCAUUAGUUGCUACGAAAGGGCACUCUAAUGAGACUGCCGGUGACAAACCGGAGGGAAGAUGGGGAUGACGUCAAGUCCUCAUGGCCCUUAUGGGUAGGGCUUCACGUCAUACAAUGGUCGGGACGGGGUCGCCAACCCGCGAGGGAGCCAAUCCCAGGAAACCCGAUUGUAGUCCGGAUCGCAGUCUGCAACUCGACUGCGUGAAGUCGGAAUCGCUAGUAAUCGCGGAUCAGCAUGUCGCGGUGAAUACGUUCCCGGGUCUUGUACACACCGCCGUCACACCAUGGGAGUGGGUUUACCGAAGUAGUUAGCCUAACCGUAGGGAGGGCGAUUACCACGGUAGGAUUCAUGACUGGGGUGAAGUCGUAACAAGGCCAA